rnacentral:rRNA from 1 species
UCCGGUUGAUCCUGCCAGAGGCUACUGCUAUCGGGGUUCGAUUAAGCCAUGCGAGUUAAAUGUUCUUCGUGAACAUAGCGAACUGCUCAGUAACACGUGGAUAACCUACCCUUAGGACCGGAAUAACCCCGGGAAACUGGGGAUAAUACCGGAUAAGCCAUAGACGCUGGAAUGCCCUAUGGUUCAAAGCUCCGGCGCCUAAGGAUGGAUCUGCGGUCUAUCAGGUUGUAGUGGGUGUAACGUACCUACUAGCCGACGACGGAUACGGGUUGUGAGAGCAAGAGCCCGGAGAUGGAUUCUGAGACACGAAUCCAGGCCCUACGGGGUGCAGCAGGCGCGAACACUUUACAAUGCGGGAAACCGCGAUAAGGGAACCCCGAGUGCCAGCAUCAAAUGUUGGCUGUCCGGAUGAUUAAAAAUCAUUUGUUAGCAAGGGCCGGGCAAGACCGGUGCCAGCCGCCGCGGUAACACCGGCGGCCCGAGUGGUAGCCGUUUUUAUUGGGUCUAAAGGGUCCGUAGCCGGCCUGAUAAGUCCUUUGGGAAAUCUGGCAGCUUAACUGUCAGGCUUCUAAGGGAUACUGUCAGGCUUGGGACCGGAAGAGGUAAGGGGUACUCCAGGGGUAGGAGUGAAAUCUUGUAAUCCCUGGGGGACCAUCUGUGGCGAAGGCGCCUUACCAGAACGGGUCCGACGGUGAGGGACGAAAGCUAGGGGAGCAAACCGGAUUAGAUACCCGGGUAGUCCUAGCUGUAAACGAUGCUCGCUAGGUGUCAGACACGGUGCGACCGUGUUUGGUGCCGCAGGGAAGCCGUUAAGCGAGCCACCUGGGAAGUACGGUCGCAAGGCUGAAACUUAAAGGAAUUGGCGGGGGAGCACUACAACGGGUGGAGCCUGCGGUUUAAUUGGAUUCAACGCCGGG